GCGGGUGUAGCUCAAUGGUGGAGCCCCAGCCUUCCAAGCUGGUCGUGAGGGUUCGAUUCCCUUCACCCGCU
rnacentral:tRNA from 1 species